GAUGAACGCUGGCGGCGUGCCUAAUACAUGCAAGUCGAGCGAACAGACGAGGAGCUUGCUCCUCUGACGUUAGCGGCGGACGGGUGAGUAACACGUGGAUAACCUACCUAUAAGACUGGGAUAACUUCGGGAAACCGGAGCUAAUACCGGAUAAUAUAUUGAACCGCAUGGUUCAAUAGUGAAAGACGGUUUUGCUGUCACUUAUAGAUGGAUCCGCGCCGCAUUAGCUAGUUGGUAAGGUAACGGCUUACCAAGGCGACGAUGCGUAGCCGACCUGAGAGGGUGACGGCCACCACUGGAACUGAGACACGGUCCAGACUCCUAGGGGAGGCAGCAGUAGGGAAUCUUCCGCAAUGGGCGAAAGCCUGCCGGAGCAACGCCGCGUGAGUGAUGAAGGUCUGCGGAUCGUAAAACGCUGUUAUUAGGGAAGAACAAAUGGGUAAGUAACUAUGCACGUUUGGACGGUACCUAAUCAGAAAGCCACGGCUAACUACGU
rnacentral:rRNA from 1 species